GAGAUUCGUGGCGCAAUGGUAACGCGUCUGACUCCAGAUCAGAAGGUUGCAUGUUCGAUUCACGUCGAGUUCA
rnacentral:tRNA from 1 species